rnacentral:rRNA from 1 species
UUGACCUACGGGAGGCAGCAGUGGGGAAUAUUGCACAAUGGGGGAAACCCUGAUGCAGCGACGCCGCGUGGGCGAGGAAGUACCUCGAUAUGUAAAGCCCUAUCAGCAGGGAAGAAACAGGACAGUACCUGACUAAGAAGCCCCGGCUAACUACGUGCCAGCAGCCGCGGUAAUACGUAGGGGGCAAGCGUUAUCCGGAUUCACUGGGCGUAAAGGGAGCGCAGGCGGCAUGGCAAGUCUGGUGUGAAAACCCGGUGCCCAACCCCGGGAGUGCAUUGGAAACAGC